UGGGGAAUCAUGGUCAAUGGGCGAAAGCCUGAACCUGCGACGCCGCGUGAGUGAUGAAGGUCGUAAGAUCGUAAAACUCUUUUCAGGGAUCUUAAAGCCUGUCUGUCAACAACAGGCAGGUCUGACUCUCCCUGGAAGAAGCCCCAGCCAACUACGUGCCAGCAGCUGCGGUAAUACGUAGGGGGCGAGCGUUAUUCGGAAUUACUGGGUGUAAAGGGUAUGUAGGCGGCCCUUCAAGUCGCGUGUCAAAGUCCAGUGCUCAACGCAGGGUGGGCACGCGAUACUGACGGGCUUGAGGGCUGGAGAGGUGAGCGGAAUUCCCGGUGUAGUGGUAAAAUACGUAGAGAUCGGGAGGAACACCAGCGGCGCAGGCGGCUCACUAGACAGUUUCUGACGCUAAGAUACGAAAGCGUGGGUAGCAAACA
rnacentral:rRNA from 1 species